CGGUGCUUCAACAGGAUCACACAGCCUUAUAUACACCCAAAUAUUAUAAAGAUCAUUAAGCAUUUUGCUUAUCCUGUAAGGGCCCGUCCAGUCACAAUCAAACUUAGAAAUUCUGGGCUCCUUGAAUUCUGGGCCGCAAUAAUCUGAGUAGUAGUGAUUUUAGUAAAGAGCUCGUCAAAGUGUUGCGCAAUGGUACGUGGUGCUUGUCCUCUAGCAAAUUCGGAGGGUAUCCUGGCUUUAACGCCAAAAACUAAUUCGUGAGGAGUAAAACCUGUAGCCUCAUGUGUGGAGUGCAAUAAUGUUUCAGAUAAUUAUAAAACUUCUGUGUGCC